rnacentral:rRNA from 1 species
ACGGGUGGUAAUGCCGGAUGCUCCAGUUGGAUGCAUGUCCUUCUGGGAAAGAUUCAUCGGUAUGGGAUGGGGUCGCGUCCUAUCAGCUUGAUGGCGGGGUAACGGCCCACCAUGGCUUCGACGGGUAGCCGGCCUGAGAGGGCGACCGGCCACAUUGGGACUGAGAUACGGCCCAGACUCCUACGGGAGGCAGCAGUGGGGAAUAUUGCACAAUGGGCGCAAGCCUGAUGCAGCGACGCCGCGUGCGGGAUGACGGCCUUCGGGUUGUAAACCGCUUUUGACUGGGAGCAAGCCCUUCGGGGUGAGUGUACCUUUCGAAUAAGCACCGGCUAACUACGUGCCAGCAGCCGCGGUAAUACGUAGGGUGCAAGCGUUAUCCGGAAUUAUUGGGCGUAAAGGGCUCGUAGGCGGUUCGUCGCGUCCGGUGUGAAAGUCCAUCGCUUAACGGUGGAUCCGCGCCGGGUACGGGCGGGCUUGAGUGCGGUAGGGGAGACUGGAAUUCCCGGUGUAACGGUGGAAUGUGUAGAUAUCGGAAAAAAAACACC